AUGUGGCCCCGUGCAGAAAGCACCGCCUCUCCAAGGGAAGGGUUUGAUGAAACCCCGCCCCGCAAGCGGGAUCGAAGUGGGCGUGGUCUCAGACGGAUCCCGGGAAGAUCUGGGCGGGACUGCCGCAGAGCCGUAAAGAGCUCCAUGAGUCGUGAAAGGGCACGGUGCGGAAGCGUUGCUUUACGACCGUUGGGACAGGCGCGCCGGGUUGGCGUUCACUGCUUGCUACUUCUCUGUUAUGCACGUGGGCAGCUCUUCGUGUUUUUGCAGGUAACUCAGCCCUCUUGGCGUGAACCAAACACAUUGAAGGACGGAGUGGCAACGGAGGUCAAGGGUCUUGAGCUGAUGGAUUUUGCUGCUGAAAGUGAAGAGAUGUCGGGAGGAGGUCUCCAGAGUGAAGCUGAGGGGGCGCGGCUAAGUCUCGAGUCAGAUCAAGAGAAAGUAAGGACGGAGCAGUCUGGCGAUGGAGGGGCGGAGAAUGGUCUGACCGGAAUGGAGAAGACAGGGGCAGGGGAAGAAGAAAGUAGACGAAGAGCAGAGGAGAUGCGAAUAGCCCUAACGGUUGUGAAGCAAGAAGUAAUGGACUGGUCAGAAAUGGUAGAAGGUACACUGAAUGGCCAGUGGGUAAAGCAGGAGGAGGACGGACAUGAGGUGAAAGAGGAAAAACCAGCCACACUGGAGGUGAAGCAGGAGAUGGAUAGUAGUUUGAUGGUAAAAGAAGAAAAGGUGGAAGAAACAGAGAUAAAGGAAGAGAAAGUGAAGGUGAAGGAAGAAGUGAUGGACUGGCUGGAAGUGAAGGAAGAGAAGAAAGAUAGCUUGGAUAUUAAACGUGAGGAAGUGUCUCUUGAUCAGAAUAUUAAAAAGGAGGAAAUAAUGGAUGAAGUGUAUGUAAAAGAAGAGAAGUAUUUCCCCAAAGAAGAAAUGAUGGAUGAUACAAGGGUGAAAGAAGAGCCUCAAAUAAAUCCCUCAGUGGGCUCCAAGCGGAAACUGGCCAUGUCAAGAUGUGAAACUUGUGGUACAGAAGAAGCAAAGUACAGAUGUCCACGUUGUUUGCGGUAUUCCUGCAGUUUGCCCUGUGUAAAGAAACACAAAGCAGAACUAACAUGUAAUGGAGUUCGAGAUAAAACUGCGUAUGUUUCAAUACAACAGUUUACAGAAAUGAAUCUCCUAAGUGAUUAUCGAUUUUUAGAAGAUGUGGCAAGAACAGCAGACCAUAUUUCUAGAGAUGCUUUCUUGAAAAGACCAAUCAGCAAUAAACAUAUGUACUUUAUGAAAAAUCGUGCUCGAAAGCAAGGUAUUAAUUUAAAACUUCUACCCAAUGGAUUCACAAAAAGAAAAGAAAAUUCAACAUUUUUUGAUAAGAAAAAACGACAGUUUUGUUGGCAUGUGAAGCUUCAAUUUCCUCAGAGUCAAGCUGUGUAUGUAGAAAAAAGAGUACCAGAUGAUAAAACUAUUAAUGAAAUCCUAAGACCUUACAUUGAUCCUGAAAAGUCUGAUCCUGUAAUUCGUCAAAGGUUGAAAGCCUACAUUUGCUCUCAGACUGGGGUCCGCAUUUUAAUGAAGGUAGAAAAUAUGCAGCAAAAUUUAGUAAGAUAUUAUGAGCUGGAUCCUGACAAAAGUCUCCUUGACAAUUUGAGGGGCAAAGUGAUCAUUGAGUACCCAACAUUACAUGUAGUAUUAAAAGAAUACAGUAAUGACAUGAAAGUUCUUCACCAAGUGAAAAGUGAAUCUACUAAGAACAUUGGUGAUGAAAAUUGAACACUUCUUUUGGAGGAAGAAUGUGACAGUACCCAGAUAGUGGCAGAGGACCUUGUUGGAAGAUUUGGGGGUGCUUUCUCUUGGUCAUUGGAAAGUUUUGUUUCUCUGAAAACUGAUUAAAC
rnacentral:lncRNA from 1 species